rnacentral:rRNA from 1 species
ACUCCUACGGGAGGCAGCAGCUAAGAAUAUUCCACAAUGGACGCAAGUCUGAUGGAGCGACGCCGCGUGGAUGAUGAAGGCCGAAAGGUUGUAAAAUCCUUUUACACUGGAGGAAUAAGCAGAGUAGGGAAUGACUCUGUGAUGACUGUACAGUUUGAAUAAGCAACGGCUAAUUACGUGCCAGCAGCCGCGGUAACACGUAAGUUGCGAGCGUUGUUCGGAAUUAUUGGGCGUAAAGGGCAUGUAGGCGGACUUGAAAGCUUGAUGUGAAAUCCCGCAGCUUGACUGCGGAACUGCAUUGGGAACUGCAAGACUAGAGUUACUGAGGGGAAACUAGAAUUCCAAGUGUAGGGGUGAAAUCUGUAGAUAUUUGGAAGAAUACCAAUGGCGAAGGCAAGUUUCUGGUAGAUAACUGACGCUGAGGUGCGAAGGUGCGGGGAGCAAACAGGAUUAGAUACCCUGGUAGUC